rnacentral:tRNA from 1 species
GGAUCUAUGGUGUAAGGGUAGCACGUGAGACUCUGAAUCUCACAGUCUAGGUUCAAAUCCUGGUAGAUCCA